rnacentral:ncRNA from 1 species
UCGUAAAGCGGCGAUGAAGCUCGCCAAGGAAUUUUCACCUGAACCGCUUGCUUAAGGCUGAUAGCUUCUACCGGUAU